UACAGAGGGUGCGAGCGUUAAUCGGAAUUACUGGGCGUAAAGCGCGCGUAGGCGGCUUUGCAAGUCGGGUGUGAAAUCCCCAGGCUUAACCUGGGAACUGCAUUCGAGACUGCAUUGCUAGAGUAUGGGAGAGGGAAGUGGAAUUUCCGGUGUAGCGGUGAAAUGCGUAGAUAUCGGAAGGAACACCGGUGGCGAAAGCGGCGCGCUGGAUCCCUUCUGACGCUGAGGCGCGAAAGCCAGGGGAGCGAACGGG
rnacentral:rRNA from 1 species